UACGGAGGGUGCAAGCGUUAAUCGGAAUUACUGGACGUAAAGCGCACGCAGGCGGUUUGUUAAGUCAGAUGUGAAAUCCCCGAGCUUAACUUGGGAACUGCAUUUGAAACUGGCAAGCUAGAGUCUUGUAGAGGGGGGUAGAAUUCCAGGUGUAGCGGUGAAAUGCGUAGAGAUCUGGAGGAAUACCGGUGGCGAAGGCGGCCCCCUGGACAAAGACUGACGCUCAGGUGCGAAAGCGUGGGGAGCAAACAGG
rnacentral:rRNA from 1 species